rnacentral:rRNA from 1 species
GACGUAGGGCGCGAGCGUUGUCCGGAUUUAUUGGGCGUAAAGAGCUCGUAGGCGGCUUGUUACGUCGUUCGUGAAAACUUGGGGCUCAACCCCAAGCUUGCGGUCGAUACGGGCAGGCUAGAGUUCGGUAGGGGAGACUGGAAUUCCUGGUGUAGCGGUGAAAUGCGCAGAUAUCAGGAGGAACACCGAUGGCGAAGGCAGGUCUCUGGGCGGAUACCGACGCUGAGGAGCGAAAGCGUGGGGAGCGAACAGG